AAGUCGUAACAAGGUUUUCGUAGGUGAACCUGCGAAAGGAUCAUUAUUGAACUACUCUUGGGGAAGGGUCUGUGCGCGAGAGCGGCAGGUCUUCUCUGUACACACGUGCACUGUCUUUUUUCACACAAACGAGUCGAGGAUGAAAAAUUAUACAAAAAAGAAAUAAAA
rnacentral:misc_RNA from 1 species